rnacentral:rRNA from 1 species
UGAGUAACACGUGGGUGAUCUGCCCUGCACUUCGGGAUAAGCUUGGGAAACUGGGUCUAAUACCGGAUAGGACCUCAAGGCGCAUGUUUUGGGGUGGAAAGCUUUUUGCGGUGUGGGAUGGGCCCGCGGCCUAUCAGCUUGUUGGUGGGGUGAUGGCCUACCAAGGCGACGACGGGUAGCCGGCCUGAGAGGGUGUCCGGCCACACUGGGACUGAGAUACGGCCCAGACUCCUACGGGAGGCAGCAGUGGGGAAUAUUGCACAAUGGGCGCAAGCCUGAUGCAGCGACGCCGCGUGGGGGAUGACGGCCUUCGGGUUGUAAACCUCUUUCACCAUCGACGAAGCUCCAGCUUUUGUUGGGGUGACGGUAGGUGGAGAAGAAGCACCGGCCAACUACGUGCCAGCAGCCGCGGUAAUACGUAGGGUGCGAGCGUUGUCCGGAAUUACUGGGCGUAAAGAGCUCGUAGGUGGUUUGUCGCGUUGUUCGUGAAAUUCCCUGGCUUAACUGGGGGCGUGCGGGCGAUACGGGCAGACUGGAGUACUGCAGGGGAGACUGGAAUUCCUGGUGUAGCGGUGGAAUGCGCAGAUAUCAGGAGGAACACCGGUGGCGAAGGCGGGUCUCUGGGCAGUAACUGACGCUGAGGAGCGAAAGCGUGGGGAGCGAACAGGAUUAGAUACCCUGGUAGUCCACGCCGUAAACGGUGGGUACUAGGUGUGGGUUUCCUUCCUUGGGAUCCGUGCCGUAGCUAACGCAUUAAGUACCCCGCCUGGGGAGUACGGCCGCAAGGCUAAAACUCAAAGGAAUUGACGGGGGGCCCGCACAA